GACGAACGCUGGCGGCGUGCUUAACACAUGCAAGUCGAACGGAAAGGCCCUGCUUGCAGGGUACUCGAGUGGCGAACGGGUGAGUAACACGUGGGUGAUCUGCCCUGCACUUCGGGAUAAGCCUGGGAAACUGGGUCUAAUACCGGAUAGGAGCCAUUUUUAGUGUGAUGGUUGGAAAGUUUUUUCGGUGUAGGAUGAGCUCGCGGACUAUCAGCUUGUUGGUGGGGUAAUGGCCUACCAAGGCGGCGACGGGUAGCCGGCCUGAGAGGGUGGACGGCCACAUUGGGACUGAGAUACGGCCCAGACUCCUACGGGAGGCAGCAGUGGGGAAUAUUGCACAAUGGGCGCAAGCCUGAUGCAGCGACGCCGCGUGGGGGAUGACGGCCUUCGGGUUGUAAACUCCUUUCGCUAGGGACGAAGCUUUUUGUGACGGUACCUAGAUAAGAAGCACCGGCUAACUACGUG
rnacentral:rRNA from 1 species